CAUGGUGGUGGGCGGCCCCAGGCUCCAUCUGUAGGGCUUCAGGGCGGCUCUCAUCCCCGCUGACGGGCUGCCUCACCAGGGCUGGACCGGAGCCCAGACCCUGGACCCCAGACCUCCUCCAGACCUCCUCCAGACCACAGACCCUCUCCACCGGACCACAGACCUCUGGACCCCAGACCUGGUCCAGACCUCCUCCAGACCUCCUCUAGACCUCCUCCAGACCUCCUCCAGGGCUCUGGACCCCAGACCUCCUCUAGACCUCCUCUAGACCUCCUCAAACCUCCUCUAGACCUCCUCUAGACCUCUGGACCCGGUCCCAUUGCCCACUUCCUCCUCGUACCUGCUUUGCUCCCAGAUGGUGAGGUCUUGACUCACAGCCGCCACAGCCAAUGGGAGGAGAGGAUGAUUCCGAACGUUCUCGGGAUGGUUCACCUGUCACCAUGACAACGAAAUGAUUCCCAUCCGAUCCGGGAACGGAAUGUGGAAGUUGUGGAUGGAUCAGCCGCGGGCGACCAACACCAGAGGAGUGACGCCCCGGGAUCCCUGGUGGCCCAGUAGUGACGUAGUCAACCCCCUCAUCACCAACCCCACCAUCCUCCUCCCCAACCCCAUCAUCAUCUCAAUCAACCCAGAAGGUAUUCGUCAGGGUUGUUGAGUCAUCAAUAGGACCCCGUACAACUGCCGAGGAACAAGUAGCAUCAUCGAACAGAACCUAUAAGAAAAGCUUCUCAGCAUUAGCCAGGGUCCGGCCGGCUGCCCCCCCAUGAAGGAGGUGGUCCGGGCCAGGGGGUCCAGGGACUGUGGGUCCUCUGAAGAACCAGACCCCUCAGGCCCCAGUGACCUGCUCCCCUCUGGAACCGCUCCCGGUCAGAUCCGCCCACCUGCUGAUGUUCUGUUGUCUUAUCUAUGCAACCGACCAAUGAGGGGCCAAGGACUGAGGGGAAGGCGGGGCUCGAUGUCUCCUCACCGCCGCUAUUGGCGGACGGCAUCCUUCAGGGUGGAGCAUAAGGGUCUGGACGG
ensembl:lncRNA